rnacentral:rRNA from 1 species
GAUGAACGCUAGCGGCAGGCUUAAUACAUGCAAGUCGAGGGGCAGCACGGGUAGCAAUACCUGGUGGCGACCGGCAAACGGGUGCGGAACACGUACGCAACCUUCCCAUAACUGGUGAAUAGCCUUCCGAAAGGGAGAUUAAUACACCGUAACAUAACGAAAAGGCAUCUUUUGUUAUUAUAGGCUUCGGCCGGUUUUGGAUGGGCGUGCGCCUGAUUAGGUAGUUGGCGGGGUAACGGCCCACCAAGCCUGCGAUCAGUAACUGGUGUGAGAGCACGACCAGUCACACGGGCACUGAGACACGGGCCCGACUCCUACGGGAGGCAGCAGUAAGGAAUAUUGGGUCAAUGGACGAAAGUCUGAACCAGCCAUGCCGCGUGAAGGAUUAAGGCCCUCUGGGUGGUAAACUUCUUUAUCUGGGACGAAAAAGGGCUUUCUAGCUCACUUGACGGUACCAGAGGAAUAAGCACCGGCUAACUCCGUGCCAGCAGCCGCGGUAAU